rnacentral:RNase_P_RNA from 1 species
CCAGUGCAACAGAGAGCAAACCGCCGAUGGCCCGCGCAAGCGAGAUCAGGUAAGGGUGAAAGGGUGCGGUAAGAGCGCACCGCGCGGCUGGUAACAGUCCGUGGCACGGUAAACUCCACCCGGAGCAAGGCCAAAUAGGGGUUCAUAAGGUACGGCCCGUACUGAACCCGGGUAGGCUGCUUGAGCCAGUGAGCGAUUGCUGGCCUAGAUGAAUGACUGUCCACGACAGAACCCGGCUUAUCGGUCAGUUUCACCU